rnacentral:tRNA from 1 species
GGGUGCUUAGUUCAGUGGCUAGAACGCUUUCCUGAUAAGAAAGAGGUCAAUAGUUCGAUUCUAUUAGCACCCA